rnacentral:tRNA from 1 species
GUCCCUGUAGCACAAUGGAUAGCGCGUUGGACUUCUAAUCCAAAGGUCAUGGGUUCGAAUCCUAUCUGGGAUG